CACUAUCGUUAACUGAAUACAUAGGUUAACGAGGCGAACCGGGGGAACUGAAACAUCUAAGUACCCCGAGGAAAAGAAAUCAACCGAGAUUCCCCCAGUAGCGGCGAGCGAACGGGGAGCAGCCCAGAGUCUGAAUCAGCUUGUGUGUUAGUGGAACGGUCUGGAAAGUCCGACGGUACAGGGUGAUAGUCCCGUACACCAAAAUGCACAGGCUGUGAACUCGAAGAGUAGGGCGGGACACGUGGUAUCCUGUCUGAAUAUGGGGGGACCAUCCUCCAAGGCUAAAUACUCCUGACUGACCGAUAGUGAACCAGUACCGUGAGGGAAAGGCGAAAAGAACCCCGGCGAGGGGAGUGAAAAAGAACCUGAAACCGUGUACGUACAAGCAGUGGGAGCACCUUCGGGUGUGACUGCGUACCUUUUGUAUAAUGGGUCAGCGACUUAUAUUCUGUAGCAAGGUUAACCGUAUAGGGGAGCCGCAGGGAAACCGAGUCUUAACUGGGCGUUAAGUUGCAGGGUAUAGACCCGAAACCCGGUGAUCUAGCCAUGGGCAGGUUGAAGGUUGGGUAACACUAACUGGAGGACCGAACCGACUAAUGUUGAAAAAUUAGCGGAUGACUUGUGGCUGGGGGUGAAAGGCCAAUCAAACCGGGAGAUAGCUGGUUCUCCCCGAAAGCUAUUUAGGUAGCGCCUCGUGAACUCAUCUUCGGGGGUAGAGCACUGUUUCGGCUAGGGGGUCAUCCCGACUUACCAACCCGAUGCAAACUACGAAUACCGAAGAAUGUUAUCACGGGAGACACACGGCGGGUGCUAACGUCCGUCGUGAAGAGGGAAACAACCCAGACCGCCAGCUAAGGUCCCAAAGUCAUGGUUAAGUGGGAAACGAUGUGGGAAGGCACAGACAGCCAGGAUGUUGGCUUAGAAGCAGCCAUCAUUUAAAGAAAGCGUAAUAGCUCACUGGUCGAGUCGGCCUGCGCGGAAGAUGUAACGGGGCUAAACCAUGCACCGAAGCUGCGGCAGCGACACUAUGUGUUGUUGGGUAGGGGAGCGUUCUGUAAGCCUGCGAAGGUGUGCUGUGAGGCAUGCUGGAGGUAUCAGAAGUGCGAAUGCUGACAUAAGUAACGAUAAAGCGGGUGAAAAGCCCGCUCGCCGGAAGACCAAGGGUUCCUGUCCAACGUUAAUCGGGGCAGGGUGAGUCGACCCCUAAGGCGAGGCCGAAAGGCGUAGUCGAUGGGAAACAGGUUAAUAUUCCUGUACUUGGUGUUACUGCGAAGGGGGGACGGAGAAGGCUAUGUUAGCCGGGCGACGGUUGUCCCGGUUUAAGCAUGUAGGCUGAUUGUCCAGGCAAAUCCGGAUAAUCAAGGCUGAGGUGUGAUGACGAGGCACUACGGUGCUGAAGUAACAAAUGCCCUGCUUCCAGGAAAAGCCUCUAAGCAUCAGGUAACAUUAAAUCGUACCCCAAACCGACACAGGUGGUCAGGUAGAGAAUACCAAGGCGCUUGAGAGAACUCGGGUGAAGGAACUAGGCAAAAUGGUGCCGUAACUUCGGGAGAAGGCACGCUGGUGUGUAGGUGAAGUCCCUGCGGAUGGAGCUGAGACCAGUCGAAGAUACCAGCUGGCUGCAACUGUUUAUUAAAAACACAGCACUGUGCAAACACGAAAGUGGACGUAUACGGUGUGACGCCUGCCCGGUGCCGGAAGGUUAAUUGAUGGGGUUAUCCGUAAGGAGAAGCUCUUGAUCGAAGCCCCGGUAAACGGCGGCCGUAACUAUAACGGUCCUAAGGUAGCGAAAUUCCUUGUCGGGU
rnacentral:rRNA from 1 species